GAAUGGAAGGAUCCGAUUCAAACCUAGCUUUUUGAGCGUUUUCAAAUCCCCAAUGUCGUCUCUGCUGCCAUUUUACACUUUCACCUUUGUUCUUCUCUCGACUCUUCUCUUUCCUUCGGUUCUUUCUCUUCCAUUGAAGAUAUUGAUCUCUUUAUAAACCGUGAUUGCAGUAUCUGAUCGAUUGCAGAGCAAAUAAUCGUUCAUAUCGAUUUCAGCUCGCCGACGGACACACUCGAAGCUUCGUUUACCAGGGAGCUUGUGGUUUGAAUAGUUUGGAUCGUUGAUUUAGAUUUCAGGAAUCGCCAUUAGAGGAAACCUGUUAUGAUUUCUUAAGUUCAAGUAAACCACAUCGUCUUCUUCGCAAAUAGAGGUAAAGUUCUCGUAAAUUUCUCGUUGAAGACCAUAAGAUAUAAAUUCAAUUUUUAUUA